CCCGGAUCAACCCUGGUCAGAGAUGAGGUGACGAUCCUUUACCCCCGGAUCAACCCUGGUCAGAGAUGAGGUGACGAUCCUUUACCCCCGGAUCAACCCUGGUCAGAGAUGAGGUGACGAUCCUUUACCCCCGGAUCAACCCUGGUCAGAGAUGAGGUGACGAUCCUUUACCCCGGAUCAACCCUGGUCAGAGAUGAGGUGACGAUCCUUUACCCCCGGAUCAACCCUGGUCAGAGAUGAGGUGACGAUCCUUUACCCCGGAUCAACCCUGGUCAGAGAUGAGGUGACGGGCCUUUACCCCGGAUCAACCCUGGUCAGAGAUGAGGUGACGAUCCUUUACCCCCGGAUCAACCCUGGUCAGAGAUGAGGUGACGAUCCUUUACCCCCGGAUCAACCCUGGUCAGAGAUGAGGUGACGAUCCUUUACCCCCGGAUCAACCCUGGUCAGAGAUGAGGUGACGAUCCUUUACCCCCGGAUCAACCCUGGUCAGAGAUGAGGUGACGGGCCUUUACCCCGGAUCAACCCUGGUCAGAGAUGAGGUGACGAUCCUUUACCCCGGAUCAACCCUGGUCAGAGAUGAGGUGACGGGCCUUUACCCCGGAUCAACCCUGGUCAGAGAUGAGAUGAUGGGCCUUUCCCACGGAUCAACCCUUGUUAUCUCAGUGCAAAUACAACACUGGAAAACAAACAAGAGCUGGGUCUCUCCCACCACGUGACUUAAAA